rnacentral:rRNA from 1 species
UACAGAGACUGCAAGCGUUAUUCGGAUUCACUGGGCGUAAAGGGCGCGCCGGCGGCCAUGUGUGUCAGGUGUGAAAGCCCGAGGCUCAACCUCGGAAUUGCGCCUGAAACUACAUGGCUAGAGUACUGGAGAGGGUAGCGGAAUUCAUGGUGUAGCAGUGAAAUGCGUAGAUAUCAUGAGGAACACCAGAGGCGAAGGCGGCUACCUGGACAGUUACUGACGCUCAGGCACGAAAGCGUGGGGAGCAAAAGGG